rnacentral:rRNA from 1 species
AUUGAACGCUGGCGGCAGGCCUAACACAUGCAAGUCGAGCGGAUGAAGGGAGCUUGCUCCUGGAUUCAGCGGCGGACGGGUGAGUAAUGCCUAGGAAUCUGCCUGGUAGUGGGGGAUAACGUCCGGAAACGGGCGCUAAUACCGCAUACGUCCUGAGGGAGAAAGUGGGGGAUCUUCGGACCUCACGCUAUCAGAUGAGCCUAGGUCGGAUUAGCUAGUUGGUGGGGUAAAGGCCUACCAAGGCGACGAUCCGUAACUGGUCUGAGAGGAUGAUCAGUCACACCUGAACUUGGACACGGUCCAAACUCCUACGGGAGGCAGCAGUGGGGAAUAUUGGACAAUGGGCGAAAGCCUGAUCCAGCCAUGCCGCGUGUGUGAAGAAGGUCUUCGGAUUGUAAAGCACUUUAAGUUGGGAGGAAGGGCAGUAAGUUAAUACCUUGCUGUUUUGACGUUACCAACAGAAUAAGCACCGGCUAACUUCGUG